GAUGAACGCUGGCGGCGUGCCUAAUACAUGCAAGUCGAGCGAACAGACGAGGAGCUUGCUCCUCUGACGUUAGCGGCGGACGGGUGAGUAACACGUGGAUAACCUACCUAUAAGACUGGGAUAACUUCGGGAAACCGGAGCUAAUACCGGAUAAUAUAUUGAACCGCAUGGUUCAAUAGUGAAAGACGGUUUUGCUGUAACUUAUAGAUGGAUCCGCGCCGCAUUAGCUAGUUGGUAAGGUAACGGCUUACCAAGGCAACGAUGCGUAGCCGACCUGAGAGGGUGAUCGGCCACACUGGAACUGAGACACGGUCCAGACUCCUACGGGAGGCAGCAGUAGGGAAUCUUCCGCAAUGGGCGAAAGCCUGACGGAGCAACGCCGCGUGAGUGAUGAAGGUCUUCGGAUCGUAAAACUCUGUUAUUAGGGAAGAACAAAUGUGUAAGUAACUAUGCACGUCUUGACGGUACCUAAACAGAAAGCCACGGCUAACUACGUG
rnacentral:rRNA from 1 species